GUUUUUGGGUGCGACCCGGAGCCUGGGCAGGUCAAGGACUACCGGCCAAGACAAAGGGGGGGUGUGGAAUCGUUCCCACGCUCGCCGUCAUCCGAAAAGAAACUCAAGUCAAGAAAUCCGCUCUUGGCUGUACGGGCUGCCUUGAGCUGGCCUUUCCAGGGGCCGGGAGUGGGGCCCCCGAGGAGGCCGGGGGCUCUAGGUAGCCCGGGCCGGGGCUCAGGCUCCCGCCGCCCAAGGCGCGCUCUCCCAGACUCCCUUGCGCCCGGGCGGGCGGGUCGGGGCCCUUCCGGCCGCCGCGGACCCCCGGGCUCCCGGGGGCGCCGCCACUCGGCUGCCGGGGCGGACCCGGCUCCCCGGCCGCUGCAGCCCCGCCCCGGCCGCGAUGCCCGGGCGGGGAAGCCCGAGAGUUGGCUCCCGGCCGGCCCAGGGCCCCUCCGGCCCGCAUUCCCGAGGCCUGAACGGCGAACAGGUUCCCCGCACUGGCCUGGCUGUGCCCUGGGGCCGGGGCGGGGCGGGGGGCCCCUCGAGGCCGUCCCCUGCUUCUCACCAGCUCCCCUUCUCCCUUUCUUUCUCCCCGCUCCGGACGGGUCCCCUCGAGCAAGGAGGAGGCUGGGUAGCGGCCAGCGGCCCCCCCCCCCCCACCGCCCAGGACCACACCGGCGCCAUCCGGCUCCCUCCUGCGGGACCCAGGACUAUUUAUUGAAGGCAUCCAGCAUCUCCAGUUAGCAGUACUGACUUUUUUCCCCCAACACUACAUCAACACUCUUGGCCUGGAUCUGGACACAGAAGACUCCUGUUUCAAGAAAAUACAAUCAUCUCUCAAAUCCUGUAAUUUAUAUGCAGUUUAAACUCACUAGGUAUUGAAAGCCACCCAAGUGUCCCACAACAUAGGGUAAAAUAUAAUCAAUCAUUCGGUGUAAUAUUAUACAUCCUUUAAAAAUGUUAUUGGAAAAUGUUUUAUGAUCUGUAAGUCAAAAUAACCCUUUCCCAUCGUUUCUUUCUCCCUGCUGCUCCCUUAUACCCACGCUUCUAUGUUCCAAUUGGCAUGUAAACUUGUCUCUCCGGCCAAAUGAGUCAGUCAUGAAGGGGAACGGCAAUUGAUUUGAACAGAUGUGUGUCAAUGUUACUUGGAAAACUAGAUGCCAAUAACCAGGGCCACAAAAAAAGGGCAGUGGUUGCAACUCUGUAAAAAUUUAUGCCUGCCUACAGACAAUGACUAAAGGGGGACCCCCCCCCCAGGAAAAGAGUUGGAUACACGCCAGUGCUGGGAGACUGAUUGUAUGCUGCUUUGGAUUUUCCAUUAAUGCAAGAUAACUGUCCAAUUAAAAAGACCUACUAAGGGCUCUGCAGUGCAAAUUAUUUUGCUGAUUGUUUUAAAAAACACCAUACCUAUCAAAUCAUCAAGGCAGAUGGGGCAGCAGGGGAUGGGGUUUGUUCUCCCAAUGCUGGACUGUCAGGCUUAGGGCAACACGUGGAGAAAAAGCCAUCCUACACAGGUGGGAAUGAACGUCUAGGCCGUUGCCCCGAGAGAAAGCACACGAUGAAAAUAAAAAUAGGUCCAAAACGAACUUUCUGGAUGAU
ensembl:lncRNA